AAAAUAGCGAUGAUUAGGACAAGUAACUAAUGAUUUUUAGUGUACAGAGAGCCUGGGUAGUUGAGAACAGGUCACAUAGUUAUUAGUGAACUCACCUUAUAGCAAUCUACUGAAAAGAUAAUCAAUAUUAUCUUAGUAGGGAUGAUCGAGUAACACACGAUACGUGUUUGAAUGAGAUCCAUACAUCAGUGAUGUAUGGAUGAAUCAGGGUGGUACCGCGACCAAAGCCUUCGUCCCUGUU
rnacentral:ncRNA from 1 species